rnacentral:rRNA from 1 species
GGGGUGAAAGGCCAAUCAAACCGGGAGAUAGCUGGUUCUCCCCGAAAGCUAUUUAGGUAGCGCCUCGUGAACUCAUCUUCGGGGUAGAGCACUGUUUCGGCUAGGGGUCAUCCCGACUUACCAACCCGAUGCAAACUACGAAUACCGAAGAAUGUUAUCACGGGAGACACACGGCGGGUGCUACGUCCGUCGUGAAGAGGGAAACAACCCAGACCGCCAGCUAAGGUCCCAAAGUCAUGGUUAAGUGGGAAACGAUGUGGGAAGGCACAGACAGCCAGGAUGUUGGCUUAGAAGCAGCCAUCAUUUAAAGAAAGCGUAAUAGCUCACUGGUCGAGUCGGCCUGCGCGGAAGAUGUAACGGGGCUAAACCAUGCACCGAAGCUGCGGCAGCGACACUAUGUGUUGUUGGGUAGGG